AAGUCGUAACAAGGUUUCCGUAGGUGAACCUGCGGAAGGAUCGUUAGAGAUGUGCGCAAGCACUUUUCCAAUUCAUACACCUGUGCACCGUGGUCUUCGGACCCUUUACAAACAUCAGUAGUCAUGAACGUAAUAAAUUGUAACAAAUAAAA
rnacentral:misc_RNA from 1 species